rnacentral:rRNA from 1 species
UACGUAGGGUGCAAGCGUUGUCCGGAAUUAUUGGGCGUAAAGAGCUCGUAGGCGGUCUGUCGCGUCGGCUGUGAAAACCCGGGGCUCAACCCCGGGCCUGCAGUCGAUACGGGCAGACUAGAGUGCGGUAGGGGAGACUGGAAUUCCUGGUGUAGAGGUGAAAUUCGUAGAUAUCAAGCGGAACACCGGUGGCGAAGGCGGCCUUCUGGACAGUGACUGACGCUGAGACGCGAAAGCGUGGGGAGCAAACAGG